CCAGCAGCCGCGGUAAUACGAAGGGGGCUAGCGUUGUUCGGAUUUACUGGGCGUAAAGGGUGCGUAGGCGGAUGGUUAAGUCAGGGGUGAAAUGCCGAGGCUCAACCUCGGAACUGCCUUUGAUACUGGCGAUCUUGAGUCCGGGAGAGGUGAGUGGAACUGCGAGUGUAGAGGUGAAAUUCGUAGAUAUUCGCAAGAACACCGGUGGCGAAGGCGGCUCACUGGCCCGGAACUGACGCUGAGGCACGAAAGCGUGGGGAGCAAACAGGAUUAGAUACCCUGGUAGUCCACGCCUUAAACGAUGAAUGCCAGCCGUUAGGUGAUUUAUCACUGAGUGGCGCAGCUAACGCUUUAAGCAUUCCGCCUGGGGAGUACGGUCGCAAGAUUAAAACUCAAAGGAAUUGACGG
rnacentral:rRNA from 2 species